AAAAAAAAAAAAAAAUCUCCCAGGGUUUUAAAAACACUGCCCUGGACCUUACCUGAGUGGAUGUUACCAACUCCUGGUAUAUCCUGUAGUUGGAAAUGGGAAAAAAAGUGCUAGUUAAAGUCUAGGCAUGAUUAAAAAAAAAAAUCCUAGAAACGAUAGACAAAGCACACUUUAAAAGAGGUGGGUGUGACUGCUGCCACAAUGCUAAUUCUGCACCCCAGCUGAUGUUAAACUUUGAAAGCACAGUAAGUCACUCUAAGACAACCCUGUCCUCAGGAAGCUCACAGUCAUAACAGUGGAGAUGUCUGUAAGUAGAGUGGCUAUUACAUGCCAGGGGAGCAAAACCUUGCCCUCACAGCAUACAUAUAAUUGGGGAAGAGCAUUAAGCACAAGUUACGUAAAUUACAUUUGCAACUUUACAUGGUGCUACAUCCACUUGAAAUAGAGAUAACCUGUUCAGAUAAGCCUUUUAUGAAAAAGUGACAUUUGAGCUAACAGUUGAAGGUAAACUAGGUGAUGAGGGAAGGAAAGCAGGUUUUAGACAAUGGCAACUGCAAAAGCCCGAAGCAACACAAUACAGCUGAAGUGUAGAGUAAAAUCAUAAGUGGUACAAUGAUUUUCUGUUUGUGAGGCAGGAUUGAAGGGGGAGUAGAAAUUGCCCAAAGGCUGAAUGGAGGCAGACAGGUUAAAAUUGACCGCUUGUUGACAGGAUAUGGGAGAUGGAAAAGGAAAGGAUCUGCAUCUAGUGAUUGGAAAUAUAGGAGUGGUGGGGGUUAGUUUCAGAUGCCUGUGGGAUAUUUAAUGUCCUGUGUUGAGUUGGAACUAUGAGUUCUACAGAGGGCAAGAUUUAGGAGUUGGCACUCCUAAGUGUCAAUACAUGUGAAUAGGAUCGCUUUGGAGGGUGAGAAGAGGUCUGAGAACACUACUAGGGAACAGUGAAGGAAGAAGGAAAAGCCUGCAGUGGAGGCAGCAGUGGCUUGAAUAGGUAGAAAAUCAGGAGAAAGGGGUCCUGAGACCUGAGGGACCAUUGGCCCUCUUCUGGCUUGCUUAUCCUUUGUACCUGAUGGCCAAUGAAUGUCAGAGAUGGUCCUGUCUCCAUCCAGUCAAGCUCUGGAGCUGGUGGCAGGUCCAAAUUUGAGGGCUGCUGUAAGCUGGAAGCUACUUGGCUGAAAAACAUGAGCCAGGCUGCCAGAUGAGGUCCUGUUCAUCCCUUUCCAGCUUCUAGGUGCUGAAGAGCCCUCUUCUGGGUCUGGCACUGCCUGAGGUGGUCUGGAUCCUCCGAGGGAAACCAACCUCUAAGACAGACCGAACCACCUCCUGUCGGCUCUGCUCCACCUCACGGAUCUGAGCUGCCAUCUGUGGGAGAGAGGCUGCUUAGACAGGUACAGGAUCAUGGGGGCCAGUUUCUUCAGAGGCCUUUCCUUUAACUUGGGCCCUCCACCCCCAGGCGUGGACCAGUACUGGUCUGUGGCCUGUCAGGAAGCAGGCUGCAACAGCACUGCCGCCUGAGCUCCUGUCAGAUCAGUGGUGGUGUUACAUUCUCAUAGGAGCACAAAC
rnacentral:lncRNA from 1 species